rnacentral:rRNA from 1 species
UACGGAGGAUCCAAGCGUUAUCCGGAUUUAUUGGGUUUAAAGGGCGCGCAGGCGGCUCAUUUUGUCAGGCGUGAAAGCCCCGGGCUUAACCUGGGAACUGCGUUUGAUACGGAUGGGCUAGAGUUCGGGAGAGGAGAGUGGAAUUCCCAGUGUAGAGGUGAAAUUCGUAGAUAUUGGGAAGAACACCGGUGGCGAAGGCGGCGACCUGGUCCGAUACUGACGCUGAGGCGCGAAAGCGUGGGGAGCAAACAGG